rnacentral:rRNA from 1 species
UACGUAGGGGGCAAGCGUUGUCCGGAUUUAUUGGGCGUAAAGAGCGUGUAGGCGGCCUGAAAGGUCAGCUGUGAAAACUCGAGGCUUAACCUCGAGACGUCGGUUGAAACCAUCUGGCUAGAGUCCGGAAGAGGAGUGUGGAAUUCCCGGUGUAGCGGUGAAAUGCGUAGAUAUCAAGAGGAACACCUGAGGUGAAGACGGGUUGCUGGGCCGACACUGACGCUGAGUGCGCGAAAGCCAGGGGAGCAAACGGG